rnacentral:lncRNA from 1 species
UUUAAGAAAGUUGUUAAAGUAGGUGUAAGUGGAGAGAGAAGUAAAUUUAUAGGGGUAGUGCUAAUAUGACUAUUAUAGCUCUCUAAUCCUCAAUUAACUUUUGAUGGCAAUAAUUUAACCUUAUUAAAAAUGUUGAAUUAAUUAUUCAACAUUUUAAUUAAGAAUUCAUUUUAAUUCAAAUUUUAAUUAAGAAAAUCAUUCACUGUUUUCGUGUGAAUUAAAAAUUUACUGAAAUUGAGGGUUGCUUAUUUAAUGAAUCCUUACUUAUUCCACGGCUGCAACCAAUUUCCAAACACCAAUUUCAAAAAUUAAAGUGUAUUGGCACUUGAAUUAAUUAUCCAACAAUUUAAAGUGUAUAGCAACAAUUUACAGUGUAUAGCAUCAGAUUCAGCGAAUUUAAAGUGUAUAACAAUUUAACUAAUGCUGCACAAAUUUCGAAAAGCACAAAGUGAACCAAAAUAGCCAAAUUUCAUUUCCCACCAAAAAUUUCCAUCGAAUUGGAGCCAAAUUCCACUUGUUUUUUUCUCCACUUACAUCAAUAAAUAAGAGAGCAUUUAAAGCCUAAAUGCUCUCUUUACUUCAAAAACUGAAAAAGUAAAGAAGAGAAAGAGAAGAUGGCAGACAAAAGGAAAAGAGCAAACAUGUCUGAAAUUGAAAGGAACAAUGUUGCACAGUGGCUGCUCCAGAACAGCAACGACUUGAAGCUUCGACACGGCGCGAAGAAAGAGGCAGCAGCUCUGUUCCAGAUCGAUGUGAGGACUGUAUGGCGACUAUGGACAGCAGCACGCGCACAAAAGAUGAUGGGAAGGCCUGUACAGCUCAUUUCAAUGAAAAAAGGAUCAAAACACAGCGAUAAAAAGGUACUCGACGUAGAAAAAGUAAAACAACUAUCCGUUCUAGAGAGAUCAACUAUAAGGAAAAUGGCAAGCAAGCUUGAAGUUAGUAAAAGCUUGGUUGGAGUGUGGAUAAAGGAAAAAAAGAUUAGAGCACAUACCAAUGCAAUUAAACCUCUUCUAACACUUCAAAAUAGGUUAAGUAGGCUCACUUGGAGCCUUAGUCAAUUAAGUGCAAUUAGUGCAAAUGGGAGAAUCAAGUUUCAGCCUAUGUAUGACACAAUACACAUAGAUGAAAAAUGGUUUUAUUUAACCAAAACAUCGGAUAGGUACUACCUGCUGCCGGAUGAAGUAGAGCCAUAUAGAGCAUGCAAAUCUAAAAGAUUUAUUAGAGAAAAUCAUGUUCAUUUGUGUGGUUUCAAGGCCACAAUAUGACAAUGAUGGUAAAAUGAUUUUUGAUGGUAAGUUUGGGAUAUUCCCAUUCACAACGGUUGAGCCGGCUGUUAGGAACAGUAAAAACAGAUUGAAAGGGACCUUGGAAACAAAGCCAAUUCAGGCAAUCACAAAGGAAGUGAGCAAAGAUGUUUUCAUCAACCAAGUGAGUUUUUAGACUAUGUUUUUAAUGUUUUUAACUAUCAGAAUGCAUUAUAUGCUUCAUCAUUUAGCAUAUUCUUAUACUUACCCCUUAAUGGACAGAUUAUUCCAACAAUUAAGGCCAAGUGGCCUCGUGGUGCAAGCAGGCAUAUAAUGAUACAACAAGACAAUGCAAAGCCCCACAUUAAGCCAACAGACCCUGACUUUGUAGCUGCUGCCACAUCAGAUGGAUUUAAUAUCCAACUGAUAUGCCAACCGCCGAACUCGCCGGAUACAAAUGUCAAUGAUCUAGGAUUUUUCAGGGUCAAUUCAGUCACUACAUGAUGACAAACAGGCUAAUUGUGUAGAUGAUUUGCUCAACAACGUGAAAGAUGCAUUUGAAGAGCUUGAGCCACAUAAGUUAAACAACGUUUUCCUCACACUUCAGGGUUGCUACCAUGAAAUCAUAAAAUGCAGGGGCAACAACAACUACAAGAUUCCACAUAUCAAUAAGGAAAGACUCUUAAGACUUGGAGUUCUCCCAGAAUGUUUGGAGGUGGAAGAACAGCUUGUAAGAGAUUGUUUGGAUGAGUUAAGGCAGCAGCAAAUUGAACAAGGCACAAUCUACAACCUUGAUCAACUAGUCGACGGACUACAACAGGUGGUUUUGAUGGAUUAGCAAGUAUGUUGACAAUUUUUUUUGCUAGCAUGUUUACAAACUCAAACUCUGCACUAUAUGUUUGUAAACAUUUUUGUAAUGUCUCAGCUUUUGAAAACAUGUUUUUUUUUCAUCAUUGACACCAAUUCAGCCCUGAAUUCAACCUCCUAAACUAGGAAAUACAUAGUGGUGGCUAGAAUUACAGGAGCUGCACCCUCAGACAUUAUGAAAUUGUUGUCAUCACAGGGUUUAUUAUUUCAGCCAACAUAACAAACAGAGGGGAACCUCCUAAACUAGGGAAAACCUAGUGGUGGCUGCAACCUCCUAAUGCUUCAUCAUUUCAUUCAUUUUCAGCCAAUUAAUAGCAUUAAUAGCAAACCAACAGCAAGAAAUAAUUCACCAGAAUGCAAGGCAUCACCAGCCAUCAAACACCAACACAUAGGAAAUCAGAGGCAUCACCAGCCAUCAAACACCAAUAAACACCAACAAAUAUGACAUGCAAAGGCAUCACCAGCCAUCACCAACCCAUAAGCAACUAAGGAACAGAAUCACCUGAUUAGAUUAGGUCUAAGGCAGCCGGGCAGUAGCGAGAUAGCAAUCGAAGG